GAGUGGGGGAUGCUACCAUGCAGUCGAACGGAACCUUCGGGUUUAGUGGCGGACGGGUGAGUAACGCGUGAGAAUCUGCCUCUAAGAUGGGGACAACAGUUGGAAACGACUGCUAAUACCCGAUAUGGCGAAAGCUGAAAGAUUUAUCGCUUAGAGAUGAGCUCGCGUUGGAUUAGCUAGUUGGUAGUGUAAUGGACUACCAAGGCGACGAUCCAUAGCUGGUCUGAGAGGAUGAGCAGCCACACUGGGACUGAGACACGGCCCAGACUCCUACGGGAGGCAGCAGUGGGGAAUUUUCCGCAAUGGGCGCAAGCCUGACGGAGCAAUACCGCGUGAGGGAGGAAGGCUCUUGGGUCGUAAACCUCUUUUCUCAAGGAAGAUAAUGACGGUACUUGAGGAAUAAGCAUCGGCUAACUCUGUGCCAGCAGCCGCGGUAAUACAGAGGAUGCAAGCGUUAUCCGGAAUGAUUGGGCGUAAAGAGUCCGUAGGUGGUAAUUCAAGUCUGUGGUUAAAGCGUGGAGCUCAACUCCAUAAAGGCCAUGGAAACUGAAUAACUAGAGUGAGGUAGGGGUAGAGGGAAUUCUCGGUGUAGCGGUGAAAUGCGUAGAUAUCGGGAAGAACACCGGUGGCGAAAGCGCUCUACUGGACCU
rnacentral:rRNA from 1 species